GAUGAACGCUAGCGGCAGGCUUAAUACAUGCAAGUCGAGGGGUAGCAAGAUUGUAGCAAUACAAUUGUUGACGACCGGCAAACGGGUGCGGAACACGUACACAACCUUCCUACAAGUGGGGAAUAGCCCAGAGAAAUUUGGAUUAAUACCCCGUAACAUAGCGAUGUGGCAUCACAUUGCUAUUAUAGCUUCGGCGCUUUUUGAUGGGUGUGCGGCUAAUUAGAUAGUUGGCGGGGUAACGGCGCACCAAGUCUACGAUCAGUAGCUGAUGUGAGAGCAUGAUCAGCCACACGGGCACUGAGACACGGGCCCGACUCCUACGGGAGGCAGCAGUAAGGAAUAUUGGACAAUGGACGCAAGUCUGAUCCAGCCAUGCCGCGUGAAGGAUUAAGGUCCUCUGGAUUGUAAACUUCUUUUAUAAGGGACGAAAAAAGGUCUUUCUAGAUCGUCUGACGGUACCUUAUGAAUAAGCACCGGCUAACUCCGUGCCAGCCGCCGCAGUAACAC
rnacentral:rRNA from 1 species